UACGUAGGGUGCGAGCGUUGUCCGGAAUUAUUGGGCGUAAAGAGCUUGUAGGCGGUUUGUCGCGUCUGCCGUGAAAAUUCGAGGCUCAACCUCGAACUUGCAGUCGAUACGGGCAGGCUAGAGUUCGGUAGGGGAGACUGGAAUUCCUGGUGUAGCGGUGAAAUGCGCAGAUAUCAGGAGGAACACCGAUGGCGAAGGCAGGUCUCUGGGCCGAUGACUGACGCUGAGGAGCGAAAGCGUGGGGAGCGAACAGG
rnacentral:rRNA from 1 species